rnacentral:rRNA from 1 species
AUACGUAGGGGGCGAGCGUUGUCCGGAAUGAUUGGGCGUAAAGGGCGCGUAGGCGGCGCGGUAAGUCUGAGUGAAAGUCCUGCUUUCAAGGUGGGAAUUGCUUUGGAUACUGCCGCGCUUGAGUGCAGGAGAGGUUAUCGGAAUUCCCGGUGUAGCGGUGAAAUGCGUAGAGAUCGGGAGGAACACCAGUGGCGAAGGCGGGUAACUGGACUGCAACUGACGCUGAGGCGCGAAAGUGUGUGGAGCAAACAGGAUUAGAUGCCCUGGUAGUCCACACUGUAAACGAGGAAUGCUAGGUGUAAGAGGUAUCGACCCCUUUUGUGCCGGAGCCAACACAAUAAGCAUUCCGCCUGGGGAGUACGGCCGCAAGGUUGAAACUCAAAUGAAUUGACGGGG